rnacentral:misc_RNA from 1 species
UGUUCUUGUUGCAUGUUGAUUGAUGUUGAUCACGUUCGAAUGAAAACACCUGUCUUCUGUCCUUCGGGUGACAAACGUUAAUGUAUCGUUCGAAUUCGAGCAAUAAACAAAAUCUGUAAAUUCGUAAAUAAAAACAGCAAAAAUGAGUAAUUCAACUAUUUCAGAUCAAUCCCUGAUGGAUAAAUCAAUGCGGAGUGUUUUUGUCGGAAAUAUUCCGUAUGAAGCAACAGAGGAGAAUUUAAAGGACAUAUUCAGCGAAGUUGGACCAGUUCUCUCAUUCAAGCUGGUUUUUGACAGAGAAACUGGAAAGCCGAAAGGAUAUGGAUUUUGCGAGUAUAAGGAUCAAGAGACAGCGCUUAGCGCAAUGCGUAACCUGAAUGGCUAUGAAAUAGGUGGAAGGACACUGAGAGUGGACAAUGCUUGCACAGAAAAAAGUCGGAUGGAAAUGCAAAGCCUGCUUCAGGGACAGAACACUGAAAAUCCUUAUGGCGAGGCAGUUCAAGCAGACAAGGCACCAGAGGCUAUAAGCAAAGCAGUUGCAUCGUUACCUCCUGAACAGAUGUUUGAAUUGAUGAAGCAGAUGAAGCUAUGCGUGCAAAAUAAUCCAAACGAAGCACGACAAAUGCUACUACAGAACCCGCAGCUUGCUUAUGCCUUGCUUCAGGCCCAAGUUGUGAUGAGAAUUGUCGACCCUCAAACUGCAGUCAAUAUGCUACAUAAAGCCAACCCGAUUCCUGGUGUUAUUUUACCAAAUGAUAAGCCACCGCUGCAUCCUAUUGUUCCAAGAAUCGAAGAACCCUGGACUCCUAGACCUGCACCCACACCAGUUAAUCCACCUGCUCCAAUUUUUGCAGGGCAGGAUGUGGAUCUGCGUACUUUAGAUAGACAAAUUGAUCCAAGGCUGGCUAGAAUGGAUCAAGACUUACGAGGGCCACCCCAAGUCCCUCCUGUUCCUGUCAGCGCUCCAGUUAUAGCUCCUCCAUCAGAUCCCAGAGCUGUAUCACAGAGCUUUGCUCUUCCAGAACCCACUCUUCCAGCGGAGGGUAUAGAGAGUUUCGGUCGUGAUCCGAGAGCUGACAGAUUCGGACGAGAACCACGAGACCCACGUGACCCUAGGAUGCCAGUUGAUCCUCGAAUUCCCAAAAUUAAUCAUCAAUUCUUGUUUGUGAUGUUACAGCACCGGCUCCUGGGGUCACGUCUGUCGCACCCAGACCCAUUGUGGCAACACCGGUGCCACCCCCUACAACAAGUGGUAUUAACCCUACUAAUCCACUGAGUCUCUCAACACCCAGUACUGCUACCUCAAGGUUAAUGGCGGGGAUGUCGCCUGCUGGUAACAUUCCAAGUGGUGCUUCUGACCAGGAAAAGGCGGCAUUGAUCAUGCAAGUGUUACAAUUAUCAGAUGAGCAGAUUGCUAUGCUUCCUCCGGAACAAAGGCAGAGUAUCCUAGUGCUCAAAGAACAAAUAGCGAAAAGCACUCAACGUUGAGAACAUCUUCUCACGGAAUGAUAAUAAUUGUAUUUUACACGAAAAAAACUCAUCAAUUUUAAUAUUUAAGUAUGUCACUGAACAUUAUGUUGGGUGUACUAGGUCUAGAUUGUUUAAGAUUCAAUAUGUUUCAUUAUAUUACCUGACUUGUCUAAGCAGAGGGUGUGAAAAUAAAAAUUUGAUUAACUGA